rnacentral:piRNA from 1 species
UACCUUCUUUAUAAUACUUCUUAGUUCCAU